UGUUCCUACAUUAAUAUUUCCUAAGGGAGUGUUGUGGAAGGAACCCUCUAAAAGAAUAAGUUCCUUCAUUACUCAUAAGCUUUAUAGGUUUUUAUUAUGUUUUAUUUACAUCUUAUGGUUAACUGUACUUCUCUUAUCUUUAGGAGGUCACUGAUAAGCUGAUUGAGGAGGAUGAAUUUGAUGCAGAUCAAAAUGAUGCAUUUAAGGUGAUCUGUAAUUGAUGAUAUGCAUGUAACUUAUUGCUCUUGCAUGUAAUUAACCAUACCAUGAACUUAAAUUGUUUUGGUUGCUCAGAAUUUUGUCAAAGACAAUAUCUGAGAGUCAAAAAAAGCCAAUAGACAGGCUAGAGAAGCUCGAAAAAAGGCCUUGCAGAAAUGAGUUAGUAGACUAAAGUAGCAUUUGAAAACAUGAAGUUUAACAAGUUCUACUCAGUCCAGACCGAUGAUACUCCUGACAUAUCAAAUGUUAAGUGCCAUUACAAGGACCAAACAUCAUGCCGCUUAAAAA